CUAAUACCGGAUAAGAAAGCGGAUCGCAUGAUCAGCUUUUAAAAGGCGGCGUAAGCUGUCGCUAUGGGAUGGCCCCGCGGUGCAUUAGCUAGUUGGUAAGGUAAAGGCUUACCAAGGCGAUGAUGCAUAGCCGAGUUGAGAGACUGAUCGGCCACAUUGGGACUGAGACACGGCCCAAACUCCUACGGGAGGCAGCAGAG
rnacentral:rRNA from 1 species